rnacentral:tRNA from 1 species
GCCUGGGUGGUUCAGUCAGUGAAGCAUCUGACUUCGGCUCAGGUCAUGAUCUCGUGGUCGGUGGGUUCAAGCCCCACAUCAGGCU